AACAUGCUGUAACCGCACGAAGCGGGUUCACAAGUACGCGCUCGGAACGGGCGAGUCACCUGGCUAAGGCGAGUCUGAGACAUGAG
rfam:Bacillus xerothermodurans strain ATCC 27380 scaffold_10, whole genome shotgun sequence.